UGUCCCCUGCACUGGCGGGUGGAUUCCCAACCACUGCACCACCAGGGAAGGCCUAUAAUUAGUUUAAAUGCAAACAAGUUAGACACAAUCUGUUUUUCUAUUUCCUCACACCUAUAGGAGAUUUGGAAAAUCCACCCUGUAUGAAUAGCAGGGUCUCACGUCUGGGCUGUAGUGCCCACUGGAGGGGCGGAGUGGGUCUGGGCGUGCGCUGUGGUUUGGUGGGGGAGCGGGGUGAUGCUUCACAACAGCCUUUUUCCAGCGUUAGUUAUUCGCAUGGGGGAAGAGCACACACGGAGGAAAGGGGUGUCAGGUGUGAUGUUGGUGUUGGGAAGAAAAGAUGGUGUAGCCCUCACACUCUGGUCCCCGCCCCCACCCCGUGUCGGGAGCAGAUGUGCUGCCUUUUUGGGGACAGGGAGUGGAGGGCCUUCCCCCACCAGGGGACGGCUCGGAGAGAAGGGAAGAGAACCAUGGUGUUAUUUCUGCCCCUGAGUGUUCUUGGCUUUGGGACCACCCCGGGAGAGCACGAGGUGGACACCCCAGCUUUCUCUACAGAGGCACCCCGCACAGCUGAGCCAUGGCCCAGGGAGAAGCUGCUCUCCGGUGUCUUUUGGGCAGUGGUCAUCGGAAAGGAGGAGGCGUGGGCCAGUGGUGCUGUGUGACACGCCACCUUCUCAAGACUGCUGAGUUACCUACUACUUGUCCCUCUGAUUUGCAGCUUCUGGAUUUUAAGUCUUUUUCCUAAAAAAAUCCUUUGGGGAGCAGGGGCUGUAUGGGAAAUCUUUGUACCUUUCCCUCAAUUCUGCUGUGAAUCGAAAACUGCUCUCAGAAAUUGUCUUAAAAAACACACACACACAACAGAAGAGCUCAGUGGAAAUGAACGGCAGACCACACAACAGGGCAGAAAAGGGAUUAAACCCGAACAGCGGCAAAUUUUAAAAAAUCCUUUCCUGUGGUUUUAGUGGGGUUUAAGGGAGGGAAAAUUGUUAAAGGCAUGUGUUCAAUCCACUAUCUUUACCCAGAAGCGUGCCUUCUGUUUGCUUUGAAGUCAGUAAGUUGAGGAAAUCGUUCAUUUCAUCCAAGUUUUAAACUUUAUUGGCACAAAACUGUUCAUGCAUUUUCUUACAAUGCUUAAGGUAUUUGUAGUUAUAACCUGUUUCAUUCCUGUUGUAUGUUAUUUGUAUUCUCUCUCUCCUUGAUCAAGUCUUGUUUGAGUCUUGUCUAUUUUCUUGGUGUUUCAAAGUGUUGGCCUUUCCAUGCUCCCUGUUUGUCCCAUUUUAGAUCAGGCUUGGCUUAUCACCAGGAUGGGACUCUUUUUGUUUGUUUCGAGCUCAGAGCUAGGACGCCAAAGCUGUCCCACUAAAGGAUUGUGUGCUGACUUUUACGCAAUCGUAUUCUAUUUCUGAGAAUUUUUUCACACUGAGAAUGAAGCUGACUCAACACUGUCCAAUUAAUCAUGGAGGGAAUAUGUGGGGCUGGGGAAGUUUGGCCUUAAGCUGUACUUGUAUGUGACAUCUAACUAAUGCUAAACGCCAUGUUACUGGGGGAAAGAAAACUCCCUUUCACAGGCUCCAUGGCGCUCAGAGAAUAAAGAAUUAGCGACCACAGAUAGGAUGUCAAAAUAAUGGUUAUGUUUGAUCAUCUCACUCUUUGCAGAGAAUUAAAAGCAAUCAUAGGUAGAAUCAAUGCCACUGUAAGUUUCCCACAUCAGGGCUGUUUUAAUAUUUUAAGUGGAUUUUAGUGCUGGUGAUUUUUAAAACACAUACACACAUCUCCUGCUGACUGCUUGUGGCAACCGAGAAAUGAAGACCAGGGACAGGGUCCCUGCUGACAUUUAAUUCUCAGGACACUGCAGGUACCUUACUCCCAGAGACCUGCUUUCCUGACAUGAAUGUGUGUGUCUCUGCCUCUGGCGGUAAUUUUUUCCCCACCGUCUCUAGCGUUUUAUAUAUAUGACAAUCACUUACAGGACGAGUUAUUUAUGUGACACCUUGCAAAGUGCUUUAAAAAUACAAUUGCUAUUCAGUUAUUCCUUACAACUCCCUUGUGAUGGAGAUCAUGUCUACACAUCAAGCUUUAGAGGAUCCGGAGGCUUAAUGCUUCUUGCUUGAGUCCUAUAAGAAGUCACAAGCAGGAACCCUGGCUGCCACCUCAGGGCUGCCCGGGGGCUCUGGUUAUCUCUAUUUGUGCUGGAAGUUUCCUCUGAAGGAGAUAGUUCCAAUUCAAAUGGGAGACUUGUGGGGAUGAGAAGGACCGUGAAAGCAGGGUAACUGGUGUCUGGCCAGGGCAUGGUGCUCAGGAUAGCCAAGGACACUCAUCCAGGAGUCCAGGAGCUUUGGAGCAGAAGAGUUCAUCUCUAUAGACAGUGACUUCCCUGAGGACACUCUUCCAGAUUGGUCCACGUGGGCUCUUGUUCUCACUUAGAUCAUCACUGACUCUGCAGCAUAACUGGGACAUGGGCGGGUCCUGUCCAGGUACGCCCAGGGCGAGGUGGGAGGGAGGCGGGGCUGGUGUCCUUAGUCUCUGAAGGCCAAAGCUGCUUCCGCCAGGUGGUUGAAGCUGGGGGUGGGGACAGCAGCCCUCAUGAAGGCAGGCCCGGGGAGGGUGGUUUGGAAGGAAGGGGCAGGAGGAAGGAGCCGGGACCUCACAGCAGCAGUUUUGUGGGGGUAAAGAAGAGAUGGCUCCCAGCCAGUGGGGUGAGCAGGGGUGUGUCUGUGAUUCCUCCAAGGAACCGUCCAGACUUUGGCUGAUGCUCCGAGUGGGGGGACUCAUGGGUGGGGUCCCCUGCCUGCCUCAUCCCCCCUCAACUGGCAGGCUCAGAGCUGUGUUGGGGAGAGAAGAACAUCCGUGCUGUGAUGGUGUAUAGCCUCCUGCUGCCCCCAGGAGCCCCGAGGCGGAGUGGGGAGAGGGGUAGGAAGGGGGACGGUCACGGAGAUGUCCUGGUCCAGGAAGAUCCGCCCCCCACCCGGCUCAUCUCAUUUGAUGCUCGCGGCAGCUCUGUGCAGUCGACAUAAUUAACUCCAUUUUACAGAUGAAGAAACCAAUAUUCAAAGUGGUUAUGCGGCUUGUCCAAGACUAUACAAUUAAUUAGGAGUGGAGAGUGGGCUCAUUAGCCUCUCCAAUGAGCCAAAGUGCCUGUGUGUCUCUCUCCGGGGCUUCUGUUUCCUUAGGUAUAAGAUGCAUGCCUUUCCCUCCUUCUGCCUCGAUGGUCUGCGCCCUCUGGGCUGCUCCGGCUCUCGCCACAGGGUCAGCUGGGGCUAAAUCCGUGUCCAAGCUCCUCACUUGCCAUGAUCUUUGGUGAAGUCUCGCUUUCCUCUGGUUUCCUGGAGGAAGCUGAGUGGACACAGAGAGAACGCCGAUUUUGGAAAUAAGGGUCCUAAAGAGAAGGGUCUCACCUGAAUAUCAGGCUGUAUGAUCACAUCUAUUAUUCCCAAACAGAAGACUGGGGUAAAACAUGGAAUGAUGUUCAUGCCUUCAUUAUUCCAAGUGUUUAUUGUAUCCUAAUCGUUACAUGUGUAAUGAGAUGUUAAAAGGGU